UACGGAGGGUGCAAGCGUUAUCCGGAUUCACUGGGUUUAAAGGGUGCGUAGGCGGCUAGGUAAGUCCGUGGUGAAAUCCUGCAGCUUAACUGCAGAACUGCCGUGGAUACUAUCUAUCUUGAAUGUCGUGGAGGUUAGCGGAAUAUGUCAUGUAGCGGUGAAAUGCUUAGAUAUGACAUAGAACACCCAUUGCGAAGGCAGCUAACUACGCGAUAAUUGACGCUGAUGCACGAAAGCGUGGGGAUCAAACAGG
rnacentral:rRNA from 1 species